AGCGUAGACGGUGUGGCAAGUCUGAUGUGAAAGGCAUGGGCUCAACCUGUGGACUGCAUCGGAAACUGUCAUACUUGAGUGCCGGAGGGGUAAGCGGAAUUCCUAGUGUAGCGGUGAAAUGCGUAGAUAUUAGGAGGAACACCAGUGGCGAAGGCGGCUCUCUGGUCUGCAACUGACGCUGAGGCUCGAAAGCAUGGGUAGCGAACA
rnacentral:rRNA from 1 species